AUCAGGCGACUUCUCGACCAAAUCAUCUCCUCUUCUUCUUCUUCCUUCUUUGCUUCCACGGAAGAUCACCUUUAUCAUCAAACUAAUCCUUGUUCCUCAGCAAUGGACGUCGAGAUACUCAUCCCCAGUCUUGAAUGCCCACAACACCAUGAAAACUUAAAAUUGACUUGUCCUUGAGCAAACUUCCUAUAUCCACAACGACGAUGGAUCGCACUAUGAAGAAGGGGAUGUGAAGAAUUAUCCGUGAAAAUACCAGCGCCUAAUAGUAAUAGUAGUGUUGUCAAAUUUUUCUGUAUUAUUUUUAAUUAUUUAUUUGCCUAUUGGUAAGUGGUACUCAUCUAUGUAUUUGAUAUACUACUAGAAUUCAACUAAGGGUGAGUAAAAUAGUCAAAAAUCCGCAGCUAUAUUUCGACCAUGAGUACCUUGAAAUGUAGUCUCAUUAUCAUUAACUAAUCAACUUUUUUGUUGUAGUUAUA